rnacentral:pre_miRNA from 16 species
UUUUCUUCUAUUCAUUGCUCUUUGUUCAGCACUAGCGACGCUCAGAAAUUUUCUGUUCAACAAAAUAUAUGAUUUUUCACAGGAUUUUUGAGCGUUGCUAGUCAAAAAAGAGU